rnacentral:ncRNA from 1 species
AAAUGAGCGUUGACAAAGAGUAGUAGAUGCAGUUCCUUCUAUAAUAAGAGAGCUUGUGGUUGGUGAGAACAAGCAGAAGACUGCAUUGAAUGGACUUUCGAGCUAAAGCGGUGAAACAAGUAGCCGCUUUCGUAUUCUCCACGUUACGGAGGCAAGAGGCCGCUUUGCGGCAACCAGGGUGGUACCGCGGAACCGCACAUCAUUCGUCCCUUUA